rnacentral:rRNA from 1 species
CCACCCUUGUAGUGUUGAUGUUCUAACGUCGACCCCUUAUCGGGGUUGCGGACAGUGCCUGGUGGGUAGUUUGACUGGGGCGGUCUCCUCCCAAAGAGUAACGGAGGAGCACGAAGGUGGGCUAAUCACGGUUGGACAUCGUGAGGUUAGUGCAAUGGCAUAAGCCCGCUUGACUGCGAGAAUGACAAUUCGAGCAGGUGCGAAAGCAGGUCAUAGUGAUCCGGUGGUUCUGAAUGGAAGGGCCAUCGCUCAACGGAUAAAAGGUACUCCGGGGAUAACAGGCUGAUACCGCCCAAGAGUUCAUAUCGACGGCGGUGUUUGGCACCUCGAUGUCGGCUCAUCACAUCCUGGGGCUGAAGUCGGUCCCAAGGGUAUGGCUGUUCGCCAUUUAAAGUGGUACGCGAGCUGGGUUUAGAACGUCGUGAGACAGUUCGGUCCCUAUCUGCCGUGGGCGUUGGAAGAUUGAAGGGGGCUGCUCCUAGUACGAGAGGACCGGAGUGGACGAACCUCUGGUGUUCGGGUUGUGUCGCCAGACGCAUUGCCCGGUAGCUAAGUUCGGAAUCGAUAACCGCUGAAAGCAUCUAAGC